GGAGAGAUGGCUGAGUGGUUGAAGGCGACGGUCUCGAACACCGUUGUCCGAUAUUCAUCGGACCGUGGGUUCAAAUCCCACUCUCUCCGCCA
rnacentral:tRNA from 1 species